rnacentral:rRNA from 1 species
CGGCGGACGGGUGAGUAACGCGUGGGUAACCUGCCUCAUACAGGGGGAUAACAGUCAGAAAUGACCGCUAAUACCGCAUAAGACCACGGUACCGCAUGGUACAGUGGUAAAAACUCCGGUGGUAUGAGAUGGACCCGCGUCUGAUUAGGUAGUUGGUGGGGUAACGGCCUACCAAGCCGACGAUCAGUAGCCGACCUGAGAGGGUGACCGGCCACAUUGGGACUGAGACACGGCCCAG